GCGGGUAGCUCAGUGGUUAGAGCCCUCGGCUUACACCCGAGUGGUCGCGGGUUCGAGUCCCGCCCCGCC
rnacentral:tRNA from 1 species